UGAUAAACAACAAAGUAUCCAGUCAUAGAGUUGAUAGAGUAAACAAAGUUUGAUUGAAACUUAUCGGAUACCUUUUCUCUGGACAGCAGCAGUGAGUCACAGGUCAUCCCAGUUCAUCCAUCUGGGAUAAAAUUAUGGCAGGGGCAAGGUUUAUAGUCUCCAAGCCAUUUGAUGAGGAGGAACUCCCCUUUACAGAUCUUGGAGAGGGCUAUGGGGCUGUGCCACAGACAAGCAUUCAAGUGCCCUCCAAAAAAGGAAGGGAAUACUCCGCUGUAUAUGGUAAGUACUUUCAUUUAUUUCUCUUGGUUUUGCUUGGCUUGCAGAUGUGUAGCAUAUUCAUUGACACAUUAUUAACAGUGGCGUAUACUAGAUGUGGGACUGUGUGCACAGACCUAUUGAUACACUUUGGUCUCGCUUCAGUUGACUUGAGAGAAUAUUUCUUAUUAAAGAGCUGAAAACUAUUAAUU
rnacentral:sRNA from 1 species